UGGGGAAUAUUGCACAAUGGACGGAAGUCUGAUGCAGCGACGCCGCGUGGGGGAUGAAGGCUUUUGGGUUGUAAACUCCUUUCAGUAGGGACGAAGCGUAAGUGACGGUACCUGCAGAAGAAGCACCGGCUAACUACGUGCCAGCAGCCGCGGUAAUACGUAGGGUGCGAGCGUUGUCCGGAAUUACUGGGCGUAAAGAGCUCGUAGGCGGUUUGUCACGUCGUCUGUGAAAUCCUAGGGCUUAACCCUGGACGUGCAGGCGAUACGGGCUGACUUGAGUACUACAGGGGAGACUGGAAUUUCUGGUGUAGCGGUGGAAUGCACAGAUAUCAGGAAGAACACCGAUGGCGAAGGCAGGUCUCUGGGUAGUAACUGACGCUGAGGAGCGAAAGCAUGGGUAGCGAACAGG
rnacentral:rRNA from 1 species